GCCAUCACAUUCUGGAAACGCCUAAAAAUUAGUGACCCCAGCUAUAAUCAUUUUAAAGCCCUUAAAAACCAUGAAGUGGACCCUGGAAAAAGUCCCGAUUCAGAUGAUCCUGAAGAUGCAGAAGCAAACUAACAUGACUAACAACAUCCAGCAUCAGGACUCUGAAAUAUCCAUCCACACAAUUCAGCCCAAACUAAUUAUAAAAGCACAGAAAGAAAAUUAUCUAACUUACUGGACUAUAGAGACGGACAAAAACCCGCAGCACUGAGCGCAUCUGUCCUUACUGUAAUCACAGACACACUUCCUCACCAGCUGAGAAGAACACAUCAGAGAGACAGUCUAUCCCAGAUUUGAAACACUUUACCCUCACUUCAAAACGUUAAACAAGAAAACAAAACUUCAAUAUUUAUAAGGUGAAACAACAUUGUAUCUUACUAGCGACACGAUACAUUGAUGCCUGUCACAAAAAGAGGGAGGAGCCAACAAUUCAGUGACGUGCCUACACACACUACAACAGACACACCACGCACACACUCUCUCUCUCUCUCACACACACACCACAUUGAAUUCUAAAUUGUUCGUAGAAUUUUCAAAUGUUAUUUGUUCUAGUUUUUAAAUGUAUAUACAUGCAUGUUUCUGCUGCAUACACAUCUGUUCUAGAUUCAGUGUAAACACUAUGCUUUGGCAGUACAUUGUAACAACUCAUGCCAACUUCUACUGAAAUGUUGUUCAAUCAUCAAACUACAACUGAAGCAUAAACUAAUUAAGAUUAUUAUUAAAAUACAAAACAAAUAUCAUCAAAACGGAGUUAUGGGAAAUAACUAAAACCCAUUUAAAUCUCAAAUAUAACGGAUUUAAAAAAGGGUUUUCUCUAUUUGAGAAAAUAGAGAUCUACAACUGAUCUACAACACAAAGAACAAGGUUAGCUGUCAGCUGCCUCGUGCUGGAGCAGUCUCACCUGUGUCACUCAGAAAACGCAGAAAACACGUCUCACCUGUCUCAGGUUGAUCUCCUUGAUGACGUAGAGCUGCGCGUGUCCGUGUCGCUGUUUGACCAGCAGCGCGCGCCCGAACGCGCCCUGACCGACCUGCCGAAGCACCUCAAACUGAUCCAUCACGAUGAAGAUGAUGAAUAUGAAGACGGUAAGGAGGAGGAUGAAGAUGAGGAUGAUCUUCUGCGAGACGGUCAGGACGCGUGUGAACACGACCGGCGCGUCACUAUAGCAACACGUCAACAGCGUCAUCUGACGCCGUCACGCAGAGGAAUGCGCGUUCACGAACACGACUGAAAAAAUUCAGAAGUUUGCUCUACUAGUGUGAGGAGGAACCGUGGAUGAAAUGGAUUUCGGAAAGAAGAAGAAAACGUAUACAGUAUAUGCACGAGGCACGGUGCACGGCCGCAUAUUUUAACCUUUGUGCAACGCUGUUUAAGACUUUCUUAUUUAAAAACAAAUAAAUAAAGGUUUUAUGAUUUAUGA